GGGCCAAUUGAUUCACCAAUCCAUGAAUUUCUGUCUCCAAGUGCCUUCCCAGAUUAGCUGUUAGUCACCCUGCAAUACGUCUCCUUCAUUUAAUGUUGAGUUAUAAAUCCCAGCCCUCAAUUAAAGGAGCUGGGCUAGCAGUCAUCAUUUGCUAGUAAUGGACUCAAGCUGCAAAAUUUGGCUUCAAAGCUCAGAGCUGUGUGGAUUUAGGGCUUUAGCUCUCCCGUUAUAGAAAUAAGAAACAGAUGGGAUUUGCAGGCCUGGUUCAGACUCCUCGCUCCUGGUCAGAGCUGGUGGAAGCAGUGAAGUCAUUACCAGGACGUGUGUGGCUGCCCCGUGCUCUGCCCUCCUUGCUGGAUGAAAGCUGAUGAUACCGAAAGGCACGUGGAAUGGACCACAUUGUCCAGAGCUAGGAGAUGAAAAUUCCCCAGGAAAUCAGGCUUCUCUCCUGGGAAAGAUGGAUAAACCCCACCGAGUACCAGCUGGAAUAUUCCCCACAUCCUGCUAGAUCUCUGCUAAUCAGAAAAGAAAUAGAUCCUCUGCUCGGAAGGGAAUAAAGACAUCCUGAGGGAUAAUCCAGCAGAGGAAGCUGGCAGAGCCACAGCCCUCUGCCACCUCACAGAAUCUGCAGUUCUGUGGGGGGAUAAACCUCAGGAAAAAGAGCAAUUUUAGUCUUCCUGGAUGGCCUGAAGGUAACAGUGCUGCCCUGUGCAACACUGCCAGAGCAGCUGCAGGGAUGGGAGCACAUUUCUCAGUUGUUGGAGCAGGGAAUUGUGCUGGGAUUCCUGGGUUCUCCCCCCAGCUCUGCCUUUGAUUUGUGGUGUGUGCAAACCCCUUAAUUUGUUUCUGUUUUCCCCAUCUGUGGAACUGAGAUAAGAUCACAGGGGAAUUGUGAAGUGUGCUUCAUUAAUGUUUAUUAGACAGGGGGAAAUCCUUAAAUGAAUGGCACUGUAUUCCAGGAGGACAAAGUUCAAAACUGCAAAGGGGUUGAUUAAAACCAAAUCUGCUAUUCCCAG